UAGUUUCAUUUACUUCAGACGGCCUGGG
rnacentral:misc_RNA from 1 species